GGUUGUGGCUCAGUGGUAGAGCACUAACCUAGCAAGUGUGAGACCUUGGGUUCAAUUCUCAGCACCA
rnacentral:tRNA from 1 species